rnacentral:rRNA from 1 species
AGAGUUUGAUCAUGGCUCAGGAUGAACGCUAGCGGCAGGCCUAAUACAUGCAAGACGAACGGCAAGUUUGAUAGCAAUAUUGAACCUAGAGUGUCGUAAGGGUGCGUAACACGUAUGCAAUCUGCCCACGACAGGAGUAUAGCUCCCCGAAAGGGGAAUUAACCCUCCAUAACACCAUUUGAGGGCAUCUGAAGAUGGUUAAACCACAAGGGGUCGUGGAUGAGCAUGCGGUUGAUUAGCUAGUUGGCGGGGUAACGGCCCACCAAGGCGAUGAUCAAUAGGGGUUCUGAGAGGAAGGUCCCCCACACUGGCACUGAGAUACGGGCCAGACUCCUACGGGAGGCAGCAGUAGGGAAUAUUGGACAAUGGUUGAGAGACUGAUCCAGCCAUGCCGCGUGCAGGAAGAAGGCCUUCUGGGUCGUAAACUGCUUUUUUCUGUGGAUAAAAGACCCGUGCGCGGGAAAUUGAAGGUAGCAGAGGAAUAAGCCACGGCUAACUACGUGCCAGCAGCCGCGGUAAUACGUAGGUGGCAAGCGUUGUCCGGAUUUAUUGGGUUUAAAGGGUGCGUAGGCGGCCCUGUAAGUCAGUGGUGAAAUACGGCAGCUCAACUGUCGAGGUGCCAUUGAUACUGCGGGGCUUGAGUACUGAUGAGGUAGGCGGAAUUGACGGUGUAGCGGUGAAAUGCUUAGAUAUCGUCAAGAACACCGAUAGCGAAGGCAGCUUACUAAGGAGUAACUGACGCUGAGGCACGAAAGUGCGGGGAUCAAACAGGAUUAGAUACCCUAGUAGUCC